AAUGUUCUGUCACACCAUGUUAGUCUACAGACCUCGAGGAUUCAUGCAUCCCACAGCUGCAGUGGAAAUGCUAAGUCAGGGCUUGAAGCAGUGAUUGAACACCUGGUGGGAAGGCAGGGCCAACCCAAGGGAGCUCAGGUGCAUGCAAUAUACCUGAGUGACCGGAAGGGGUGGAGCCAGGAUCCAGCCCUUCCCAGGCCUCAUUUAAGGGUUGGCAGUGGAGGUAAAGGUAUCUCAGUGGAGAUCUGUGCCUGCCUGAGGCAUUACAAGGGUGGGCAGAUCUUCUUCCUUUGUUUCUGUGUCCAUGGCUGCUGCAUUUGGUUGUAUCUUUUGUUGCUGCAGCCUAAGACUUUGCUGCUCUGCUAUCAUUGCUGUGUUUUCCAUUGCAUUAUAGUGUUACAACCAUCCAACCAGAAAGAUGAAGAUCAGCUGAGCAGAAUGCUGUUAAACAAACUGUUGGUUAUUGCUGGGUUACUUAAUGGUGUGGUGCAUGGAGGCAAAGUCCUGAUGUGAGAAGGAGAGUAUACAAACCCAAACCAAGUGCUGCAGUAAUUCCCCUGCACUGCUCUGUCUCAGACUCAGCCAAGGUAAAUGUGGCACUGCGCUAUCCCAGAAUGGCUGAGGUGGAAAGGGACCUCUGGAGGUCACCAGGUCCAGCCUCUGCUCAGCAGUGGAUUGUGCCAUGAAGGCUCACCACAGCAGACUCACUUAUGGCACUUUCUGCAAAGGCAAGAGGUUUUUUUUUUUUAGAUUGCUUUUCUGAGGUUCCUACUGGGCUUUGUCAAAAAUGUAUCUUCCUAACGAUGGGCUUGGGAUGCAGCUCUGCAAGGAGAAGGCAGUCAAAGUGUAUUUAUUAACUCUACCUAUAUUUGCCUCAUUUCCUUGUCCUAUGGAGCUGUAUUUUGUUUAUUUCAGGGAUACUUUAAGUGGAUGGGCAUAAAUGUACUAUUGCUAGGAAAAAUGCAAGUGCAAAUUGCAUUUAUACAAAAAACAGGGUAGAUAAAUAGUACGCCUGACUUUGAAGGCCACUUCAUGUAGCACCAAACACUGAGUCAAUCUUGUUUCAUUGGCACUCUAUUUUUUUCAGUGCCACAUUACAUUUUCUAGAAGAGCUGCUUUAGAUCUAGCCUCAUCAUCAGAAAGCAUGUAAUUUAGCAGGUGUACCUUGUCAAACUCAAUUUCUGUGUAGCUUUUCUUUGAUUCGUUAAGCUCCUUCUCCCAUUCUCAAGAAGAUCCAUGGCAGAUUUCAGUCUUCUCAAUACAACAUACUGGGGACUUUUCAUUGUCUCAUCCUUAAAAAGAGUUACUAGUGUACUUACUCACAGAAACUAGUGUAUAUCUAGAUUGAUUUCUUCAAAUGCCAGGGGUUAUUUUGGCAAUCAGCCUAGUGAGUUUUCGAGAUUUGGUACGGAGAGGAUUAGGAUUAUAUGGUAGGAAUCACUAGAAGUUUCUUAAAACCCAAACAUAAUGGUUAAUUUAACAGCUAGGAUACUGUGUUUGAAACUAGUAGCACAAUAUUGCCCCUUUUAAAUUGUGGAAUCUUAUAAGUGUACCUCAACACCAUGCCUUUCACAUUGCAUAGGACUAAUAUAUAAAAGAAUUAAUGAUUAUUUCCCCCACAACUCACCUUUUUAUGUAGUAGUGAGUGAUGGAUGGGUGCUUGCAUUCUGUGGGACAGAUAAGGUUUAGGCUAUAUAACAAAAUUCAUGCAUAGAUUACUAAUGGUACCCUAUCUAAAGCUAAUAUAUUGAUUAACCCUCCUGUGAACAGCGAACAGGUCAGUGCACUAAGAGGUUACUAACUAGCUCGUGCCCAUGCCUGUGGUGCUUUUUUUUUUUUAUGGUAGUUUGAAAGGAAAAGAAACUAACACUGAUGUACGUGAUAUUGUCACUACUGCAGGAAAUAUACAGGCCAAUUUUGCAAUGUUUCUUUGAAUUUCUCUUAAGGAAAGAAUUUUAUGAAGUGCUGAUACUUAGAGUAUCAGUGGUGCUUAGAAAUGUGCAAGGCCAGAAGAACAGAUGCGCUUUGAAUUUGCUUACAACUUAUUCUUUUUCAAGCUGUAUUUGUUGAACCAGGCCAUGUUUCACUCUCCUCCCAUUACAAUGAAGAAUCCAAAUAUAGGUCAGUAUCUGUAGGUAAAAGCUCCUAACGCAUCUCCAUGCUACCCAGCUCUUUGAGGCUUCAUAAAUGGAAACAACCUAGACAGGCACGUAACAGAUUAACUAAUAUAUUUAUUUGUACAAGAAGACCAAAUUUUGAAGCAGUCAUACCAUUGUAUAAACCUUACUGAGCUAAACCUCCUGAAAAUUGACUUAAGCCUCAGUGGAGGAGGAAAUGCUAAAUAAUUGUGCCCUAUACUGAAAAUAGCUACAGCCAAUCUCACUUUUACACUCAAAAAGUCUCUUUGGGAUCAAAUGGCUUACAUAAUCAUGUCUUUUUACUCUCUGCUCAGUUGUCUCAGACCAUGCUGUGCAAUGUUUAGGACUGGGAGUGCCUCUUCCUACUGAUUUCUAAAAGUACUUAGAAUAAUGGGACUUCCUUUGUAAUGUUGCGGUGAAUUAUUGUAACUAUUUUGAAUUUAUGAGCAUGCACAUAGAAUAUGUUAUUCAUACAGGGCUGUGAGUACAGUAAAACUGCAUGAAUGGCCCGGAGCUGGAUGGCUGUUAUAUACAGAAAAAGCUUAUUUAAAUUGCACAUAUUUUGAGAGGGCUUUUGGAUUCUCUUUGCCAAAAAUAGCUUGGUACAGAAAGGCUCACAGAAAUUAGGGCCAGAGGGUACUUAAGCUCCAUCUAUACAAGCAACAGGGCCAUGGCCUGUGCUUUGGCCCUGAGGCCAGUAUAGUUGAAUACUUUUUCCCCUAGAUACAAAGGCCAUGUCCAUAGUGACUGCUGAGACCAAUCUUUGGACAUCAGUCCCCAUGACAGUGCCCAGCAGAGGCCUGAGCCCUGCUGAGAACACCACUGGAACCUUAGGGAGUAUCUGGGUAUCUUCAGGCUGGAUAAACUCUCUCCACUGUGAAGUAAAUAAAUAAUACUAGCCUUUUUCUUCCUGAAAAACC
rnacentral:lncRNA from 1 species